CCUGAAUCAAGCUACAAAGAGGUGGCAUCGUUAUGGACAUUUACAUGGGGUCCUAGUCCUAAGAGGGGUGUUCAAACCCUUUCCUUUGUCUCCAGUGAUACGGAUCUACCUCUCGGGUGAGGCCUGACCCAGGUUAGGUGUCCCAAUCCUACUGCUUCAGUGAAUAUUUGAUACAUUCAAGGAAAGACCCUCAGGUUAAACCUGCUUCAGCUAAGUUUCAGGAUAGCUUUAGGGAUGAAAUUCUUCACCACAGGAAGGACAUGAACUCUCAGUUCUUGCAUCUGGAGUGAGAUCUCUGCUUUCCAAAACGCUGAGCAAAGGGACAGUAGUACCUCUGCUUCCUGCUUGCCCUGCUCCUAGGCUGGUUUUUGUGUCCUGCAGGUUGUCCUGCUCUGCAAGGGGCAGCAGCGGUGAUCCUGCAGGCAGGGGGACAGUCCUGGAUCAUGGAUCCCACAGGCAGGGGGACAGUCCUGGAUCAUGGAUCCCAUAGGCAGGGACAGUCCUGGAUCAUGGAUCCCACAGGCACGGGGGACAGUCCUGGACCAUGGAUCCUGCAGGUACGGGAGACAGUCCUGGAUCACAGAUCCUGCAGGCAGGGGGGACAGUCCUGGUUCACAGAUCCUGCAGGCAGGGGGGACAGUCCUGGAUCAUGGAUCCCGCAGGCAGGGGGGACAGUCCUGGACCAUGGAUCCUGCAGGUACAGGGGACAGUCCUGGUUCACAGAUCCUGCAGGCAGGCGGGACAGUCCUGGAUCAGGGAUCCUGCGGGAGCUCCAGGUGCGGGGCUGCCCUCUCUGCAGCCACCCCCGGGGAGAGCUGAGUGUGCGUGAGCAGCCGACGUGUCAGCACGGCGAGGAGCCGUACUUGCACAGACACGUGUGUGCAGGGAAUACAUGGCCGCGGGCAGCGUCUGAGCUGCGAUUCCGAGGAUCGUCCUGGCUCCUCAGAUGCCGCGCUGAGAAGCCGGGGCCGAUGCGGGCCCCUCGGCACGGAGCCGGUUACCGCGGCCGCCCGGGGCCGUUCCCCUCGCUGCCCUGCCGGGAGCCAUGGCUGCCCGUCCCGGGGGAAGCCUCAAGAAACAGCUUCAAGGUCCCACAUCUUCAAAAGCAAGUCUUUUAAGAAAUCCAAAAUUUGUGGAAUCUGCAAACAAGUAAUUGAUAGCCAAGGCAUUUCCUGCAGAGGUGAGUAAUGUAUGAUGUGCUGUUUACUUCCUUGCUGUGUAAAGGAAAUAAAUUAUACAUUAAUGUUAAAGUUUCA
rnacentral:lncRNA from 1 species